ACCCAUGAUGACUGACAUUUCUUCACUUUGACCUGAUGUUUGUUGAAGAAACAUGAUGUCUGAGG
ensembl:snoRNA